rnacentral:lncRNA from 1 species
GUAUAACCGGUAUAACAAAAAAGUCAUUCCAAAAUCUCCUAUUUUUUUAUAUAUAUAGUAUAGAUUAAUAAUAAAUUCUAAAUAUUUAAAUAUUAAUUUAACUUUAUUAUGAAUUAAGAAUGUCCUUUCAUUUUACAUUUAACAAAACACUUGAAUUAGCUUAUCAGUUACAAGUCAUGAACCACCGAUAUUUAGCUAUAAGCUAUUAGUCGUCAGCCAUCAUAAGUUAACUGCUAGCUUAUCAGCUAUCAACAAUUUUUACCAUUAGUCUUAAUUUAGUUUUGGCUUAAUUGCACUUUUCCCCCUAUCUUUUGCUAAUUGUGGGGUUUUGCACCCACUAUUUUUUUUUUGCACCCCAUCUUUUGACAAUUGUGUUUGUUCAAAAUCAUCAUUAAAAGAGGUGAAAAGGGGCAAAAGAAUGAGUGCAAAAUCGCUCAAAAAAAAAGAAGAGGGGAUGCAAAAUCGCACAAUUAGCUUAAAGAUAGGGGGCAAAAGCACAAUUGAACACAAAGAUGAGGUGCAAAAUCAGAAAGGAGGCAAAAAGAUGGGGUGCAAAAUCGCACAAUUAACAAAAGAUAAGGGGAAAAUAAGUUGUAAUAUUUUUUUGGCUAAACUACAGUUUUGACCCCCUAAGUUUGCCAAUGUUGCGAUUUUGGUCCCCUAAUAAAAAAAAUGAAUAUUUUGCCCCCUAUGUUUUAGCCCCUUUGCAAAAGUGACCUUUUGAUCAAUUUUGACCGGGUCAACGCGGAGGUGGCACUUCAUUAAUAGUGCUGGCAUGCCACAUGUGUAUUUAACCAAUUUUUUUAAAAUCAAAAUGCCACCUGUGUAUUUACUUGAAUUAAAAAAAAAAUAAAAAAAUAGAGAAAGGAUUGGCACGUGAGAAUAGCAAGGUAAAAAACACCAAUCUUAAAAACCCCCAAAUCAAACAUUCAACCAUUCCUUUUCUUCAAUCUUCAUCCAUUCUUUUCCAUAACCAAACCUUUUUUUUAAUCAUCCUUCUUCAUUCCUUUCUGAAAUUGAUUCUUCCUCCUUUCUUCUUGAUCGAUUUUUUUUUCUUGUUCCACUUGUGAGUUUCCAGAUCGAAAAAUGGCAGGUCAGUAUUCAUCUUCAACUGUUCCAGAUCGAUUUUUUUUUUUUAUUGAAAUUGUGUCUGAUAUUGAUAUAGCUGAAUUGGAUUUGUGUUGAAUUUGUAAAAACUAUGUUUAUUUUGAAGUAAUAUGACGAUUAGCUGUUCAUGAUGUUAUGGUAGGUGAGAAGCAUGUUCCGAAAGGUACAACUGCUAUGGUGAAUAUGUGGGUUAUAACACAUGAUGAGAAGGUUUGCAAUGAGGCAAAAGAGUUUAAAAGCGAGAGAGGUUUAUGAAUGAGGAAGUGAGUAUAAUGGGAUCUGAUUUGACGUUAGCACAUUUGGAGCUGGUAGGAGGGUUUGUCCUGGAAAAGCUAUGGAUUUGGCUUCUGUUCAUCUUUGGCUUGCUCAGUUACUUCACAACUUCAAAUGGGUUCCAUGUGAUGAUUCACCUAUUGAUUUGGAUUAAUGUCUUAUGCUUUCGCUUGUGUGCAAGGUUGUUGCUAGGACCUAGGGCUAAUGUUAGUGUUUGAAUUUGCUUGACUUUCGUAAGAAAUUUGGUUAUGAAUCUUGUGGGGAUUUUGUUUGGGAUGUGGUUGAAGACUUGAAGUUGAUUUUCUCGGUUUUUAUUUUAUGAUUUUUUGAAUUUUUUUUUUUUUGUUCUGAAUAUUAAUGAAUUAUUUUUUUCAUUUUUUCCAUUUAUUUAAUUUCAUAAAUGAUUAUGUGGCAAUUUCAUUUAAUUCUAAUUCAAUAAAUAUACACAUGGCAUGCCACAUAGUGGUUGACCCAGUCAAAAUUGACCAAAAGGUCACUUUUGCAAAGGGGCUAAAACAUAGGGGGCAAAAUAUUCAUUUUUUUUAUUAGGGCGCCAAAAUCGCAACAUUGACAAACUUAGGGGGUCAAAACUGUAGUUUAGCCUAUUUUUUUUCGAAAGAAUAAUUGUGUUGAAAUUAAUCAUACAGAUUUCAAUAAGUUGUAAUAUAUUCCCACCUAUGUUACACAAUACACAUUCAAGACUUAUUGAAUUCACUUUACAACUCAAAAAGUGAAAAUACAAAUCUAUCCUACUUCUUUGCAACUUCUUUGCAAUUAACGCUACAGGAGUUACUAAUUGAGUUAAAUUUUAUAUUCCUGAUUUAGUAUAACACACUAAAAAAUAUAUAUAUAUAUUGGUCAAGUAGCCUUAUGACUAGAUUAUGCUUACCAAGAUGUUACAAUACAUUGUCUCUUCAAACUGAAUUAUGCUUACCGAGAUAUACACGUAUAAAUUUAACAAUUAACAAUUAAUUUAAGAAAGUAAAUAAAAAGAUUACAAUAAUCAUUUAUUAAGUUAUCAAUCAAGAUCAUUAUAAAUCAUCUAAUGUGAAUCUAUCCGCAAAAUUGUCUAUUUUCUAAUAUAAAAUUGGUUUUGAUUUAAAAAAUUUCUUGAUACAUGCAAAAUUGCAGAAAAUAGAAAAUAAGCUUCUAAUUUAUAAAUUUCUUGAUACAUGCAGACAAACACACUGUAACUAUUAAAUUAAGAAAAUAAACUUCUAGUUCCGU